CCUACGGGAGGCUGCAGUGGGGAAUAUUGGACAAUGGGGUGAACCCUGAUCCAGCGACGCCGCGUGAGUGAAGAAGUCUUUCGGUAUGUAAAGCUCUAUCAGCAGGGAAGAAAGAAAUGACGGUACCUGACUAAGAAACCCCGGCUAAAUACGUGCCAGCAGCCGCGGGAAUACGGAGGGGGCAAGCGGUAUCCGGAUUUCCUGGGUGUAAAGGGAGCGUAGAGGGGGAUGCAAGUCUGAAGUGAAAGCCGGGGGCCCAACCCCCGGACUGCUUUGGAAACUGGAUGGCUGGAGUGCAGGAGAGGUAAGUGGAAUGCCUAGUGUAGCGGUGAAAUGCGUAGAUAUUAGGAGGAACACCAGUGGCGAAGGCGGCUUACUGGACUGUAACUGACGUUGAGGCUCGAAAGCGUGGGGAGCAAACAGGAUUAGAUACCCGAGUAGUC
rnacentral:rRNA from 1 species